rnacentral:rRNA from 1 species
UACAGAGGUCUCAAGCGUUGUUCGGAUUCAUUGGGCGUAAAGGGUGCGUAGGCGGCGCGGUAAGUCGGGUGUGAAAUCUUCGGAGCUUAACUCCGAAACUGCAUUCGAUACUGCCGUGCUUGAGGACUGGAGAGGAGACUGGAAUUUACGGUGUAGCGGUGAAAUGCGUAGAUAUCGUAAGGAAGACCAGUGGCGAAGGCGGGUCUCUGGACAGUUCCUGACGCUGAGGCACGAAGGUCCAGGGGAGCAAACGGGAUU